rnacentral:misc_RNA from 1 species
UCGUACAACUGAGGUGCGAAGGCUGUCGCUGACCCUCAAGGGUUGUGCACGCCCGAGCGCUCUCACACAAUCCAUCUCACCUCUGUGCAUCACCGCGUGGGUCCCCUUUGCGGGAGGGCUCACGUUUUCACACAAACUUCGUAUGCAGUGUAGAAUGUAUUUUUGUUUUGCGAUCACGCAAUCAAUA